CGGGUGAGUACGCGUGGGUAACCUGCCUCAUACGAGGGGAUAACAGUUGGAAACGACUGCUAAUACCGCAUAAGCGCACAGGAUUGCAUGAUCCAGUGUGAAAAACUCCGGUGGUAUGAGAUGGACCCGCGUCUGAUUAGCCAGUUGGCGGGGUAACGGCCCACCAAAGCGACGAUCAGUAGCCGACCUGAGAGGGUGACCGGCCACAUUGGGACUGAGACACGGCCCAA
rnacentral:rRNA from 1 species